UCGGGAAUAUUGCGCAAUGGAGGAAACUCUGACGCAGUGACGCCGCGUAUAGGAAGAAGAUUUUAGGAUUGUAAACUAUUGUUGGUAGGGAAGAAAAAAGACGGUACCUACAAAGAAAGCUCCGGCUAACUAUGUGCCAGCAGCCGCGGUAAUACAUAGGGAGCAAGCGUUAUCCGGAAUUAUUGGGUGUAAAGGGUGCGUAGACGGGAAAACAAGUUGGUUGUGAAAUCCCUCGGCUUAACCGAGGAACUGCAACUAAAACUGUGUUUCUUGAGUGCAGGAGAGGAAAGUGGAAUUUCUAGUGUAGCGGUGAAAUGCGUAGAUAUUAGGAGGAACACCAGUGGCGAAGGCGACUUUCUGGACUGUAACUGACGUUGAGGCACGAAAGUGUGGGGAGCAAACA
rnacentral:rRNA from 1 species